rnacentral:rRNA from 1 species
UACAGAGGGGGCAAGCGUUGUUCGGAAUUACUGGGCGUAAAGGGCGCGUAGGCGGCCUGUUAAGUCGAACGUGAAAUCCCCGGGCUCAACCCGGGAACUGCGUCCGAUACUGGCAGGCUUGAAUCCGGGAGAGGGAUGCGGAAUUCCAGGUGUAGCGGUGAAAUGCGUAGAUAUCUGGAGGAACACCAAUGGCGAAGGCAGCUCACUGGGACGGUACUGACGCUGAGACGCGAAAGCGUGGGGAGCAAACAGG